AGCUGGUUCUCUAACUGAUGAUCAUUCCUCGGCGGCUGAUUAAAGCACCCCUCUUGAGAGUGUUUUUGUUUCUCUUUGGAAGAGUCCGGCACCUCCAAAGGAGGUAGCAUUUUCUUGGGCCCUUUUAAUUGAUUGUGUUCCUACACGGUCUAAUCUUGCGAUUCGUCAUGUACUAGAACCGCAAGCCCCAAGGAAUUGUGUUUUUU
rnacentral:lncRNA from 1 species